GUGGGAAUAUUGGACAAUGGGCGAAAGCCUGAUCCAGCCAUGCCGCGUGUGUGAAGAAGGUCUUCGGAUUGUAAAGCACUUUAAGUUGGGAGGAAGGGCAGUAAGUUAAUACCUUGCUGUUUUGACGUUACCGACAGAAUAAGCACCGGCUAACUUCGUGCCAGCAGCCGCGGUAAUACGAAGGGUGCAAGCGUUAAUCGGAAUUACUGGGCGUAAAGCGCGCGUAGGUGGUUUUGUAAGUUGGAGGUGAAAUCCCCGGGCUCAACCUGGGAACUGCCUCCAAAACUGCAUGACUAGAGUACGGUAGAGGGUAGUGGAAUUUCCUGUGUAGCGGUGAAAUGCGUAGAUAUAGGAAGGAACACCAGUGGCGAAGGCGACUACCUGGACUGAUACUGACACUGAGGUGCGAAAGCGUGGGGAGCAAACAGGAUUAGAUACCCCAGUAGUCC
rnacentral:rRNA from 1 species